rnacentral:rRNA from 1 species
AGUGAACGUUGGCGGCGUGGAUUAGGCAUGCAAGUCGAGCGAGAACCGUAGCAAUACGGGGACAGCGGCGAAAGGGACAGUAAUGUGUAGGUACCUACCCCGAGGUCUGGGAUAGCUGCGGGAAACUGCAGGUAAUACCGGAUAAUGUCUUCGGACCAAAGGUGUGAUUCCACCUUGGGAGGGGCCUGCAUCCUAUUAGCUAGUUGGCAGGGUAAUGGCCCACCAAGGCGACGAUGGGUAGCGGGUGUGAGAGCACGACCCGCGUCAUUGGGACUGAGACACUGCCCAGACACCUACGGGUGGCUGCAGUCGAGGAUCUUCGGCAAUGGGCGAAAGCCUGACCGAGCGACGCCGCGUGCGGGAUGAAGGCCUUCGGGUUGUAAACCGCUGUCGUAGAGGAGGAAAUGCAGGGGGGUUCUCCCCUCUGUUUGACCUAUUCUAGGAGGAAGUACGGGCUAAGUUCGUGCCAGCCGCCGCAGUAA